GAUAGAAACCCUUUUGGGCUGGCGCUCUGUCAGCUUCGCUAGCACACAGCUGCUUCUGGAAAAUUCUGCACCCUGCCCUACUAAACCACCAGGCAUGACAUGAAUAACAAGAAUGGCCUUGCCAUCACCAGCGGAUACUUCUUCUUUUGACAUGGGCCUAACAGACUGGUACAAAUGCCCUGGUCUUGCACAUAGUGGAAAAGUCAACAAUGAUGGGGACACCGGGGACACAAUGUGGAAAUGAAAUCCCGGGUUUAAAAGGCAUUGUCUGCACAAGGAUGCAGCAGACGCAGACCCCCGGGGGCUUUGGAAACGGCUGUGUAAUAAAAUGCCAACUGAUGUGUUUUGAUGGGGUGACUUGUUCACCAGCCAGUCACUAAUUGGAGAGUAAUAACCCACUUAAUUGCUUUCAUUCAGCAUGGAGCUUUUGCAAAUUUUACUUCCCAUGCUGCAUGUGUCAUCUAUGUGGAGACAGCGGCAGCAAGACAAAGCCAGCACUUGAAAAGGCACGUACGAGCUGGUAUGUGUUGCUUUGUUUCUAACAUGAUCCGUCAACACUUGCCUCGGGUCUAAAGACAGCCUUACGGGUAAGUGUGUGAGUGUUGCACUGCAGAUGAGAUAAUGCUCGGCCCGUAUCCGUCCAUGAGCUUGUUGGCCAUGUACAGCCACAGCACUCCAUGGUGUGUUGACAUUUCCCUGCCCAACCUGUCGGAACACAUACGGCCAUGGAGGCUCCUCUCAGGCUGUCUGUAUCCAUGGCAGAUAAAGAGAGGGGAAUGCAGCUGUGAGUCAGCACAGAGGAACGGCAGCCUAAGUUAUGAUGAGACAGAGGUUGGAUCACACAAGUUCCUGCUGUUUGUCUGACAAACAUUUGAAUCAGGGAGGAAAUCCAUGUGCCUCAACUGUGAAGCUUCAGAGCAGUGAUGCUGUCAAAGAGCGGGGAGGAAACUUCAGUCUGACUGAGCCUGUCCAUGCAGGAGUAGUCUGACUAUGAGUUGCAUUAUCCAGUUUGCAGCGUCGCCACCAACCAGCUGACACCGGACUUGUCAUGUGACAAGCUCAUUCCUCUAACUGGUGACGCAAAAGGAGAACUUGCGUAACGACACAAGAUUUCCAUCCACUCUCUUUUUCUUGAACCUUGUGUACCGACGCGUGGACUGUCACUGCAUGAAUCAUCUGUUGCUACAGAGGAGGAGAAAUUACCUCAGGUCAUUUGUCACGUAUGAAACUAGUGCAUCUGUCCAUGCUCAUUUGAUGACAGGAGGUCAGGAGGUCAGGAAACCAUAACGCAGGUAUUUCACAGUUUGACCUGCAGAUGUAACUCAACGAGCGACUAUUGUUCCAACAAUCCUACCCACUGUCGCUUUAAACACUGGAUAGAAAUGAACGUACGUCUCUCACUCUGCAUUCAAAACAAUGACCCUACUAAUUAUUUUGGGAAUAUCCACUGGUAUAAAUGUCAACGCCACCAAAACCAUAUCAUAGCAACAGUACUUUGGCUGAGACGACUUAGACAGUCAUCAUUUCCAUGACUGAGAGACUGAGGUCAUGUUGCCCGGGCUUAUCUGUCUUACUGUAAGAUGGUGUGUGUGUGUAUGUGUGUGUACUUGUAUUUAUAUCUUUGUGAGGACAUUUUGACAUUUUGUUGAGGUUCUGAGCCGCUUCUCUGUGUUCUGUCUGUCUGUCUGUCUGUCUGUCUGUCUGUCUGGCAGCCUGGAUCAGCGUGUCGUGCCAUGGACGACUCUGCCAACUCCCUUCUUCCUUAACAGCCACCUCCACCUAUGAAAGCGUGUGUUCUCCUGACAAGAAUAUGUCAAUUGCACAUGCCAGUGACAUGAUUUAUCAGCGCAGAUAUUAUUGUUUGCAAGCGUCAAUAAAAAUGACUUUGA